GACGAACGCUGGCGGCGUGCUUAACACAUGCAAGUCGAACGGAAAGGCCCUGCUUUUGUGGGGUGCUCGAGUGGCGAACGGGUGAGUAACACGUGAGUAACCUGCCCUUGACUUUGGGAUAAACUCAGGCAACUGGGGCUAAUACCGGAUAGGAGCUCCUGCUGCAUGGUGGUGGUUGGCAAGUUUCGGCGGUUGGGGAUGGACUCGCGGCUUAUCAGCUUGUUGGGGGGGUAGUGGCUUACCAAGGCUUUGACGGGUAGCCGGCCUGAGAGGGUGACCGGCCACAUUGGGACUGAGAUACGGCCCAGACUCCUACGGGGGGCAGCGGUGGGGAAGAGUGCACGAUGGGCGGAAGCCUGAUGCAGCAACGCCGCGUGCGGGAGGACGGCCAUCGGGGUGUAACCCGCUUUCGCCUGGGACGAAGCGUGAGUGACGGUAAUGGGUAAAGAAGCACCGGCUAACUACGUG
rnacentral:rRNA from 1 species